GGCGGCGUGGAUAAGACAUGCAAGUCGGACGGGAUUUUCUUUGGUAGCAAUACCGAAGGAAAUUCAGUGGCGAACGGGUGCGUAACACGUGGGCAAUCUGUCUUAAAGUGGGGGAUAGCUCGGCGAAAGCCGAAUUAAUACCGCAUGUGAUCAGAGGCGACAUCGCUUCGAAAUCAAAGGUGGCGCAAGCUACCGCUUUUUGAGGAGCCCGCGGCCUAUCAGCUUGUUGGUGAGGUAAUGGCUCACCAAGGCGUUGACGGGUAGCUGGUCUGAGAGGACGACCAGUCACACUGGGACUGAGACACGGCCCAGACACCUACGGGUGGCAGCAGUCGAGAAUUUUUCUCAAUGGGGGAAACCCUGAAGGAGCGACGCCGCGUGGAGGAUGAAGGUCUUCGGGUUGUAAACUCCCGUCAUUUGGGAACAAGUCGUACGUAUUAACUGUACGUGCGUUGAUAGUACCAGAAGAGGAAGAGACGGCUAACUCUGUGCCAGCAGCCGCGGUAAUACAGAAGGUCUCAAGCGUUGUUCGGAUUCAUUGGGCGUAAAGGGUGCGUAGGCGGCGCGGUAAGUCGGGUGUGAAAUCUCGGA
rnacentral:rRNA from 1 species